rnacentral:misc_RNA from 1 species
UUGUAUGAGAGGUGCUUUACAUAUUUAAUGUGUGAAUUUCAUGUCUAUGCAGGACCUGUCCCUGAUCAACUUCAAAAGCGCUUAGGAAGACGUUUUCAGCUGAAAAGAAGAAAAGUAAAAUCCGGAAGGCAUGGGAUGGAACUAAAGUCAUUUAUAAUGUUGCUUCAUGGGGCACCACUGCUGUUGGGGUCUACAAUAAUCGAGCAUUACUUACGAUCGCAACUACAACGUUUCAGACUUCCUGCCGUGUGA